rnacentral:rRNA from 1 species
GACGAACGCUGGCGGCGUGCUUAACACAUGCAAGUCGAACGGAAAGGCCCUGCUUUUGUGGGGUGCUCGAGUGGCGAACGGGUGCGUAACACGUGAGUAACCUGCCCUUGACUUUGGGAUAACUUCAGGAAACUGGGGCUAAUCCCGGAUAGGAGCUCCUGCUGCAUUGUGGGGGUUGGAACGUUUCGGCGGUUGGGGAUGGACUCGCGGCUUAUCAGCUUGUUGGUGGGGUAGUGGCUUACCAAGGCUUUGACGGGUAGCCGGCCUGAGAGGGUGAACGGCCACAUUGGGACUGAGAUACGGCCCAGACGCCUACGGUAGGCAGCAGUGGGGAAUAUGGCACAAUGGGCGGAAGCCUGAUGCAGCGACGCCGCGUGCGGGAUGACGGCCUUCGGGUUGUAAACCGCUUUCGCCUGUGACGAAGCGUAAGUGACGGUAAUGGGUAAAGAAGCACCGGCUAACUACGUG